ensembl:lncRNA LINC01630 long intergenic non-protein coding RNA 1630
AGGCAUGAGUUGGAGGAGGCUCAGAGACAGACAUUGUGUGAUACUGAAAAUCUCCUUCAACUCUUACCCUUCUCCUCAACUCCCAGAAUCUCUCUUUCUUUAGGGUUUGUUACAUAGGUAUACAUGUGCCAUGGUGGUUUGCUGCACCCAUCAACCCAUCAUCUACAUCAGAGAACCUUGUCUUGGGCUAUUGGUAGCCUGUAGAUAAAUUACCCUUGGAUCAAGUGACCAUCCCUGUACAAUAAGAGUUGGCUGAGGAAGAGGAUAGACUGUGAGCAGGAAAGAUCCCCUAGAAAGGCAUAUGGACCGAAAAUGCUGACGCCAAUGCCAAGGAAAAAAGUGUCUUGAAAAAGCAGCCGUGGACGUGGAGUUACCAAAUCAUCCGAAGUGGCUCCUGGACCGGGUGGAGGAGCCAGGCUGCAGAAAUGCAGUUCAUCGCAGGAGUUUUCCUGAACAGAGAAAAGUCUCCACAGAAUAGCAAAAAUAGCAAAAACUCGAAGUCAAGGGUCUUGAGGUCUAAAUUUUCUGUGUGACCCCAGGGAAAUCGUUUCAUCUUUCUAGGUCUUCACAUCCUCACCUGAAAAAUAAAGUGCUUGGCUAAGAAA